AAGGAUCAUUAUCGAGAGAGGCGUCAGCCUCGGGGGCUUCGGCUCCAACUCUUUACCCGGUGGCUAUGCAGCUCAAGUCCCUUUGGCGGCACAUUGGUCGCCAGGAGGCCUUCAAAAUUCUGCCAUCAGUGUCGUCCGAGUCAUUGAAUAACUAAAACUUUCAACAACGGAUCUCUUGGUUCUGGCAUCGAUGAAGAACGCAGCGAAAUGCGAUAAGUAAUGUGAAUUGCAGAAUUCAGUGAAUCAUCGAAUCUUUGAACGCACAUUGCGCCCCUUGGCAUUCCGAGGGGCAUACCUGUUCGAGCGUCAUUACACCCCUCAAGCUGGGCUUGGUGUUGGGCCUCGUCCCCCGGGACGGGCCUGAAUAGCAGUGGCGGUCCGACGUGGCUUCAAGCGCAGUGAAACACAUGUUCGCUUGAAAGGCGCGCCUGGGUCCCGCCAGACAACCCGUAUGGCUAUCCGUUUGACCUCGGAUCAGGUAGGGAUACCCGCUGAACUUAA
rnacentral:rRNA from 1 species